rnacentral:rRNA from 1 species
UACGGAGGGUGCAAGCGUUAUCCGGAUUCACUGGGUUUAAAGGGUGCGUAGGUUGAUAGGUAAGUCAGUGGUGAAAUACUCCGACUCAAUCGGAGAACUGCCGUUGAUACUAUCUAUCUUGAAUACGGUGGAGGCGGGCGGAAUGCGUCAUGUAGUGGUGAAAUACUUAGAUAUGACGCAGAACACCCAUUGCGAAGGCAGCUCGCUACACCGGCAUUGACACUGAGGCACGAAAGCGUGGGGAGCAAACAGG